AAGUCGUAACAAGGUUUCCGUAUCCUUCUGAGAUAUCUAUAGAAGCCUAGCACCACGACUCUAAAUAAAGUGCAAGUUUUGAUUUUUAGCAAUCAAAGCAAUACCUCUAAAUUGCUGGAAUUAUCCAUUUGGGAUAUCAGCAGCCUCACUUUAUUCAUAUAUAAAAGUGUGGUUCACAGAUCAAAUUGAGGAAUCAAAUUCGUUUGAUAAAGAUAUGACCGUGUCGUAUCCCUCUAAAGGGAUAUAGACUGUACCUGCACCCUAGCCUCCGGUUUGCAGUUACAGUCGGAAGAACGUUCCGUGGUGAACCUGCGGAAGGAUCAUUACUGAGAUAGGGUUCUUUUGAGCCCGACCUCCAACCCUUUGUUUAAACUACUUUGUUGCUUUGGCAGGCCCGCUAUUCGGGGCCGCUGGGGGCGUUUAGUCGCCUCUGGUCCGUGCUUGCCAGUAGCCAAUUUAAAUUCUUUUUAACUAUGUCGUCUGAAUAAUAAUUAUAAAUUUAAUUAAAA
rnacentral:misc_RNA from 1 species